rnacentral:tRNA from 1 species
GGAGGAUUAGCUCAGCUGGGAGAGCACUUGCCUUACAAGCAANNUCGACGCAUCUGGCAUCUUUGA